GCAUGUGACUAACCUUAGAGAGCUUUCUUUUUUUUUUUAACAAGAAAACAGUUCCUUCAUCCACUGUUCCCUUUGGACAGUAUGAACACUUGACAUGGGUUUACUGUACCUAAUACAACUUUAAUAUUUUAAGAUACUGUUUGCUUUGGCCUUCCUUGUUCUGUCACUGCAAAGUUGAAUAUGUCGGCAUGGAAAGAGAGACUAAGGAGAGUUGUUACAGUGGAGCUGGUGAUUUUCCUCUACAUGACCAGCACUUUCAUCGUAACACCUGCAUAUCAACAGAUGAUUAUCACAAAGGUGUGUCAAGAAUGAUACUAUCUGUAGUAACCCUGAGCACCAAAAAGGGGACGAGAAGGUUCAGACGACAGCCUCCUACAUCCUGCUUUUGUUCAACACCACCCUCAUUCUGGUCUCCAUCCCUCCUGCCUUAAUGCUGGGCUCCUGGUCUGACCGCGCUGGCCGUCGCUGGGUCAUGGCGCUCCCAUCUGUGUUUUCCCUGUUGAGCAGGGGGUUACUCUUGGCUGUAAAUUUGUUGGGAAACUUGUUGGCAGUAGCUGAGUCCAUGAUAUUCGUUGGAGGCACAGUGAGCAAGAAUUCGGACUCCAGGCAGCAUUCGGGGCCUACAUUGGCUGCCACGUCCUGGUGGUGCUUUAUAUUGUGCUUUGGCUGAGAGACACUAUGAUGGGAGAAAAUACAUGUACUGUAUAGCUCUUUAUAAAAGGGAAACGGUUGAGCAAGGUUCUCAAGCAGACAAGUCUCGUCUGUUUAUCCUAAAGUAUGCCAAACUGUCUUUCAAAGCAGUGUUCAAGAGGAGGUCAGGGUAGGACAGACUGAAAUUGCACUUUCUCAUUCUCUGCACAGUGUUUUGGACUUGAGUUUCCUUGUUUUGCCCCUGUCUUAGUUCCUGUUUUCCUUAUUUGGUCAUGUUUCAUGUGCCUGUCUGUUUAUUUGAUUCCACCUGUGUUUCCCUUGUUUCCUCGUUAUGUUGAUUUCAUUCCAGGUGUUCCUCGUCUGUUGUCAUUUAUCUCAGGUGUGUCUUAUCUCCCCCUCGUCUUGUCUGGUGUUUAAAUAGUGUUUCUUGUCUUUAGUCUGGUGCCAGGUAUUGUAUAUGUCUUCAUGUUCUCCUGUGUACCAGAACUGUAUUCUGUGUUAUUUUGCCUUAAUAAAAGUCUGCUGGUUUUGAGCUACUCCCACGUCUCCUUGUUCCAUUGCUCCCUGUGAGAGUGAGACAGAAUACCGGACCAAAAAUCAGCUAUGCUGCUUGCAGCAUGGUGGUCGGCCAUUGGAACGGUAUGUGGAGGAAUUCCUCGAGCUGUCUUACUGGGUGAGUUGGCAUGACGCAGCACUCGGUGCCUGCUUUUAGUUUGGUCUGGAUGAGAACGCAAUCCAUUGUGAAUUCCCGACAUAUGAGUUUCCCUUAAUCUAGUUGAUUAAUCUAGUCCUUUAUUUAAAUGGUUCUAAUUCCGAGGUUGAAGAAAUAAAGGACAAUAUAAAUAGUUCCAGACCCCACUUUAACACAACGAGCUCCUCCAACUCACCCUGUGCCAGGACCCUCCACAUGCCUCCAACUCACCCUGUGCCAGGACCCUCCACAUGCCUGGCCAAUGGCUCUGACCACCCAUCGCCUCCUGUGCUUUCCCGUACUCAGGGAUGGACUUCAUACAGCACUGACCUGGGGGCCAAAGUUUAUGACCUCGUAUUACAGUCAGUCAGGUCAGCGCUAAAAGCCGCUCCCCUUCCACUACCUCCACCCAUCCGAUCCAUCCUGGUCCUCGGCCCUGAUUUGCCUGCGUCUCCGCUGUCAAGCUCGCUGGCUGCCGCUGAUGCCCCACUUACCCCAAACCAAACGAGGAGGAUGAGGAGAAAAAGACUGUACUCAGCCCUCAUCCUCGGCCCAGAGCUCGCUCCAGUGUCAGCUUCAGCCCCACAGUUCAGCCCAGGAAGGGCUGCUGUUCCUGAGUAUAGCCCACGGAGGGCUCCUGAUCCCCCGUUAACCCCCAUAAGUUCCCCCAAUUUUUUUUUUUUUUGUGGGGGGUAGUAGGGCUCCAGCCGUAGAGGCCGGGAUGGGGGCUGGGGCCGCAGCCUCGAAGGCUGCUCUGCCAUGGCCUCCUGAACUGCCUGCUCCGCCAUGGUGCCCCGGGUCUCCAGCUCCGCCAUGGCAUCCCGAACGGGUACCACUGUCCUGUGUCUGUCUUGAGGGACCUCCAGAGCGCCCCCUCCUCUUUGGAUGUUAUGUGGCGUGAGGACACACCUUCCAGAGGGAGGCAUUAUGUCAGUGUUGUGGACUUGUGUUUUCUUGUUUUGCCCCUGUCUUAGUUCCUGUUUUCCUUAUUUGGUCAUGUUUCAUGUGCCUGUCAUUAUGUUUAUUUGAUUCCACCUGUGUUUCCCUUGUUUCGUCGUUAUGUUGAUUUCCUUCCAGGUGUUCCCCGUCUGUUGUCAUUUAUCUCAGGUGUGUCUUGUCUCCCCCUCGUCUUGUCUGGUGUUUAAAUAGUAUUUCUUCUCUUUAGUCUUUAGUCUGGUGCCAGGUAUUGUAUAUGUCUUCAUGUUCUCCUGCGUUCCAGAACUGUAUUCUGUGUUAUUUUGCUUUAAUUAAAGUCUGCUGGUUUCGAGCUACUCCCGUGUCUCCUCGUUCCAUUGCUCUCUGUGAAAGUAUGACAGCACCUUCAGAAAUAACCUGGUGGCUCUUGGUCAGUGCAAACUCAAACAUACACUAACACAAACGCAGACAUAUACACUAUAGGCCAGUGGGAAAAAAAGGUGUAGAAACAAC
ensembl:lncRNA